GAAGUAUGCUUUAUCACUCAUAUUGAGUCGGCUGCAUUUCUUCCUCCGUCCGCUCGGCUUCUCUCUUUCCGUUUCCACCACACUCCUGACACAGACCCGACCCACUGAGAAUGUUCCAGAACACGCUGAGCCAAACCCUGGGGUGACCUUCGGGCUCCAUGACAAUAUGAAAACUGAGUGUGCGACGGCAUCCGAGAACCAUUCUGGUUGGCAAACGCCUCGAAGAUGCUGGAGUCCAAGCACAACCCCCUGGCACUGCCCCACGUCCCUCAGGAGCUCAGGCGGAAACCCCUCCAGGGAUGGCGACUCCAGCACUGCCCUGGGCAGCCCGUUCAGUGCCCGACAGCCCUUGCUGGGAGGAACAGUUUCCAGGCUCCAGUCAGAACCUCACCUGGUACCACUGGGGCCGUUUCCUCUCCUCCUGUCGCUCGUUCCCGGGGCAGAGUCACAGAACCCGCUCUCUGGGCACUCUGUGGGGCGGCUCCUGUCCCGGCCGCUCCCCGCACUCCCGCUCUGUCUCUCGCCCGAAGGCUCAGGCGGGAACGGCCGCUGCGUCCCGGCCGGCCAAUCGCAGCUCGCCGCCUCGGCCCCGCGCGCCGCCGGCCGUUGGCCCCGCCCCCUCCUCCCCUCAGCCCCUCAGGGAGGAAUCUCACAGCGCUAGUGCUGAACCCCGAGUUCCUGGCGCCACUCAAGAGGCUCCAGGGGACACCCCCAAAACGUGAUGGACCCCGCCCUGUUGGGCAGAGCGAGAAGACCCGAGACAGCCCCUGCCCUGUCGCUGUCGGGCACACGUAGGGCACCGAAAAGAUGACGAGGCUUGGAAGCGACUUCCAGUUCGGCGCCACAGGCAUCCUAGGGAAACUAUGCAGGCUAAACCUCGGAAAGGUACAGCCACCUAGAAGAACUUAGCUGAAAGAAAAGUCACUAAAAGAGAACCGCUCUAGUUUUUAACUAAACCAGGACACCCCCAAAUUGUGUGUUUUGCCCUAAAAAAUGGGCCCAAAAAUGCUUUUUCCCCCAAAAUUGGGUUCCCCGCAAAAUUGAGUCUUUCCCCCCAAAAAUGGACCUCAAGUAUUGGAUUUUUUCCCCAAAAAUAUGUGUUCCCUCCAAAAAAUGGGUCUUGUUCCCUCCAGAAUGGGUACUACCCCACGAAAAUGGGGCUAAAAAUGGGUGUUUCAUUCCAAAAACGUGUCCAAAAAAUGGUGUUUACCCACAAUAUGGGGCCCAAAAGUUGUUUCCCCCCCCAAAAAAAAAAAAUGAGUGCACCAAAAAAUGUGUGCACCCUCUGAAAAUGGGUCCAAAAAUGGGUGUUUCUCCCCAAAUAUGGCCCUAAAAUUGGGGUUUUCCCCAAAAAAUGCACUUGUUUCUAAUAAAAAGAUGUGUUUCCCACCAAAUUGGUCCUACCCCACAAAAAUGGAUCAAGAAAUGAGUGUUUCCCCCAAAAAGGUUAUAAAUUCUUUUUGCAAGAUUUGCCAAGGUUGGGCAAAAUUACCGAUUUUCUUGUCAAGAUUUGUAGAUUUUGGGGCAAAAUUGCAAAGGUUUUGUGCAAGAUUUGCAAUUGGGAGGGAAAAUUAGUAUUUUGAGGCAAGAUUUGUGCAUUUUUUUGUUAAAUUACAGAUUUAUUUGCGAGA